AUCAUAAUAUCACAAUUCCCCUCUCCCUCUCUGUGGGUGGCCACGGCCCGGGAGCCUCUCAGAGAGGGAGAGGGGAAUUGUGAUAUUAUGAUUUAUAAUUAGAAAUGUAUAUUUCAUCUUCAUCCCCAUUCCUUGGAAUUUCCUAAGUGAUAAGAUCAAUAAAUGUGUCAUCUGUUAUUCAUAACAAGUCCCUUUCAACAACCCUUGAGCUUAUAUUAAUGAGGUUACUUUUGGAAAGCCCAUAAGGAGGGGAGCUGGUUGCCGGGGGAACCAACCAUGUGAUUAGAGUUGGAACUUUCAGUCCCACUUUGAGGAGGGGGGAGGAGUUAGAGAUUGAUUUCAGUCACCAAAGGCCAAUGAUUUAAUCCAUCAAGCCCACGUCAUGAAACCUCCGUAAACUCUGAACUAUGAACAGUGGGGUUUGGAGAACUUCUGGGUUGGUGAACAUGUGGAGGUGCUGGAAGGUGGUGUGCCUGAAGACGGCAUGGAAGCCCCACACCCCUUCCCAUGUACGUUGCCCUAUGCAUCUCUUUCAUCUGGCUGUUCCUCAGUUGUAUCCUUUUAUGAUAAACUGGGCUCGGGACCCCAAGGAACAGCACUGGCAGCUUGUUAUCUUGAUAGAAGCGUUCACUCUGUGUUCUUCCAGCCUUCCAUCUGCACCACCUCCCGGGAUGCCGAAGCCCAGAGGAUCCCUCAGAUGGCGCUCAGAGCCGGAAGAUGAGGUGAUUAUGGACUGCUGCUCUGAAAACUGUGGGAGCUGUUGCUGGCGCUGUUCCCUGGAGCAUCAUCCAUUUCUUGUUCUUGUGGGACGGGAACCAGAAUGGCCCACUUCAAAAAGACUCCUUUAGCCAGCGCUUGCUAGAGAAAGCUGAAGACGGUCAUCUCAGGGUCAGCAUGAUUUUAAUCAUGUUUGUCUCCUUCUGAUGCCAAAAAAGAUGAUUAUUCUCAUUAGUGUAUGCCCUGUGCGUAAGGUUCUGCCUGGCUUGACUUGCUACUGCCCUCUACUGGUCUAGGAGAGAGACUGUUGGGUCUUUCUGUCUAAUCCUGUAGGAAUUUUAGAACAGAAUCCAAUUUGGGAAAAGAAAUCACUCAAUUUUUUUCUUUUACUUCAUUUAAAAAUAGAGAUCUAAUUGACAUAUAACAUUAUAUUCAUUUAAGAUGUGCAACAUAAUGAUUCAAUAUAUGUGUAUAUUGCAGAAUGAUCACCACAGUAAGUCUGCUUAACAGCCCUUACCACAUAUGGUUGUAAAUCUUUUUUUUCUUCUGAUGAGAACUUUUAAGAUCUACUCUCUUAGCAACUUGCAA
rnacentral:lncRNA from 1 species